CUAAACUGCGAUUUUCCGAUAUCAGUAUUUCUGUGAAUGCUACUUUUCAGGGUCUGUUAUUCUUAACUGUGAUUUGUCGCAGUUAAGGAACCUAGGUCGUGUAUCCCUCUGCCACUGCUAUUUCUGCGAUUUCUGCUACUUCCGCGAUUUCUGCUACUUCUGCGAUUCCUGUGACUUCUGCGAUUUCUGUGACUUCGGCUACUUCUGCGAUUUCUGUGACUUCUGCUACUUCUGCGACUUAGCACCGUAUGAAAAAGUUACAUCUGUCCACAUAGAAAAUUGCAUCUCAACAAACCUGUCAUUGGUGCCCGAACUUCAUUUCAGUCACUCAGUAAAGUGAUAACUCAAAAUUUCAUUGUCAGCAGAUCUGGAGAAAUUGUCACUUCGUCUUUAGACCGUUUCAUCAGACGAGAGACACAGUUCUGGUUGCUGUAAGUAUCUAUCCACAUCAAGGCUGUUGGGAGAGACUCGUGAAGAUUCAAGACAGCUCUUAGAGGACUUGCAGUUUAAAAGUGACAUAAUUGUGAACUAAGUGUGCAGAUGAGUGAUUAAAUUGUGUUUUAUUGAAGUUGUUGAGCGAUUUUAAACGAAUAAUAAAUGUUAAAUAC